GAUGAAGAACGUAGCGAAAUGCGAUAAGUAAUGUGAAUUGCAGAAUUCAGUGAAUCAUCGAAUCUUUGAACGCAUCUUGCGCUCCUUGGUAUUCUGAGGAGCAUGCCUGUUUGAGUGUCAUUAAAUUCUCAACUACACUGACUUUGAAUUGGUGUGGCUUGGAUUUGGGGGGAAAAUUGUUGUGGGCUUUUUGUAUAGUCUGCUCCCCUGAAAUUGAUUAGCGGUACCUUUGUGGAACUGUCUACAGGUGUGAUAAUUAUCUACAUCUUAGACAUCUGCUGGAAUGCUGCUUUCUAAACCUUACUUGUAUUGACAAUCUUGACCUCAAAUCAGGUAGGACUACCCGCUGGACUUAAGCAUAUCAAUAAGCGGAGGA
rnacentral:misc_RNA from 1 species